ACCUGUCAUCCCCUUCCCCUACCUCCAGCCACCCCAUCGCCAGGGACCGGCAAUUGCCGCCCCACCCUGCCGCUAAAACCGCCGCCUCCCGCCUCCCUCGCGCACGUUCGACCGUGCGGAUGUGGUCGCCACCCACUCAUCCUCAUUUUCCCCCACUAUAUCCCCAAAAAUCACGCCGGUUUGACCUCCCUCGAGCUCCAUGUCGCCACCCCACGUCGCCGGCCGGUUGCCGCCCGAUUCCGCUCCUUUCGGCAACGAUUUCCCUCUCCUGAGCCUAUAUAAACACUGUCCAUGCGACCCUCGUCCAUUUCCCCAAUUUUCCCGUACUCCCCACACUCUCUCCCGCUCUCCCCACGCGAGCCCAAGCGCCGCCGCUCGCCGGCGACUCUCCAGCUGGCUGCUGCCGCCGCUGCCGCCGUCCCCGCGCCGCGCCGUUUGCGUCGCCGGCCUCGCCGCGCGUUGCCGAACCCCGUCCACCGCUCCGCUUCUGCAAUAAACCACCCGGGCGCCGGUUUCACCGUGCACCCGAGCCACAGCCGCCUCUCGUCUCCUCCAGUCGCUCGCCACCGCCACUCGCGUCGCUGCCACGCUGCGCCACCACCGUCGAAAGCUUCGUCGUGCCUCGCCGCACCCCGGCAUCCGAUUCGUUUCCCUAAAUCGCCACCGCAACCACCCCUCCACCGUCGACCCGAGCCACCACCUCCGUUUGUCGACUGCAGCCGCGUCGUCCCACUGCUUUGGUCGUCGCCAACCCACGUCGUCGCCUCCCUCGGCUCCGCAAGGACGAGGAGGUCCUCGGCCACCACUCCCCGUCACCCGAAUCCUGCCGGAACUCCACCUUCAUCGCACACCGGUCCUGCUGGCGCUCGGUCGUCCCUCCGCUUUCGCCGGACGUCGCCGGAGUCCCGCCGUCGCCGUGCCUCCUCGAGGAGCUUGUCGCCGCCGCGUUCCCGUCGUCUCCUCGCCGUUGCGCGAGCUCGGGUUUUUCCUCGUUUUGCGUGCCUGCGUGUAGUUCGCGUCGUUUCGGAAGUUCGCGGUCGCGAGGAUCAGAGUUCAGAAGGUUGUAGUGAAGAAGCAAGGCAAGUCACACAUUCCCCUUGAGCAUGUUGAUCCCAAUUUAUAAAUGUUUUACCGUUUGCAAAUAAACAUGCAUGUCUUGCUAAUUACAUGGGAUCCGAGUAUUACCUAUCUGCUCGCUUGUGCCAAUGUUUACUUGAUAUCUGUCCUUUGUCAACCUUGUGUGAUAAAUCAACUAGCUCAUGGUACUUAUGUGACCUAGCUAGAACUAUAUGCUUAGCCAUGCUUAAUUACCACUAGCUCAGUUGAUGGGAUAAUUACAGUAUUAGACCUUUUUAGUAUCAGAAUGAGCUGCAUGCUCGAGACAUCUGACCAUGCUUCGUGGUCUUAAUUAUCCAACUAAAAUACAACUGAAUGGUGGGCUGUGGGUGCAUGGUUUUGCUAGUCGCAUCCAUGGCAAUUAAGGACCGGUUCGCGGGAUGCCCUGGAAGAACUUAUCGUACUUACCACA